UCAUCUUGUCCUCACAAAUGUUGCCCUCUUUCAAAUACUUUUCCAUUUUUCUGACAGACCAUCUGACAAACCUUUGCCUCAACUGUGGGGAGGAAAAUGCAGAUGACAGUGAAGAGGCAGAGCUGACAUGGAUAUCCUGUGAUGCCUGUGGAUGGUGGUUCCACCAUGCAUGUGUUGGAAUGCCAAAGAUCGAGGACAAAUUUGUGUGUGCAGCAUGCUGAGGCAAAGGAACUUAUUUCUUAGGAAGUUCAUGUAUCAAUAAGAAAUGUUCUAUUUACAGUUUAUUUUUCCUUGAUUUUGAAUGUUUCAUUUUUUAAAUUAUUUUAAUGUUUUUGUUGAUGUGUUAAAUAUUGCACAUUUUGCCAUUUAAUUUUGUAUUUAUUGAAUUGAAUAAUAAUUCUACAUUAUAAAAAGUAAGUUUAUUUUUUGUUUAAUGUUAU